CCUACGGGAGGCAGCAGUGAGGAAUAUUGGUCAAUGGUCGGGAGACUGAACCAGCCAAGCCGCGUGAGGGAUGAAGGUACAGAGUAUCGUAAACCUCUUUUGUCAGGGAACAAAGGCGGGGACGCGUCCCCGGAUGAGUGUACCUGAAGAAAAAGCAUCGGCUAACUCCGUGCCAGCAGCCGCGGUAAUACGGAGGAUGCGAGCGUUAUCCGGAUUUAUUGGGUUUAACGGGUGCGCGGGCGGUCUGUUAAGUCAGCGGUCAAAGCCCGGGGCUCAACCCCGGCCCGCCGUUGAAACUGGCAGUCUCGAGUUGGAGAGAAGUAUGCGGAAUGCGCGGGGUAGCGGUGAAAGGCAUAGAUAUCGCGCAGAACUCCGAUUGCGAAGGCAGCAUGCCGGCUCCACACUGACGCUGAGGCACGAAAGCGUGGGUAUCGAACAGGAUUAGAUACCCGUGUAGUC
rnacentral:rRNA from 1 species